UAAGCAUAUCAAUAAGCGGAGGAAAAGAAACUAACAAGGAUUCCCCUAGUAGCGGCGAGCGAAGCGGGAAGAGCUCAAAUUUGUAAUCUGGCACCUUCGGUGUCCGAGUUGUAAUCUCUAGAAGUGUUUUCCGCGUUGGACCGCACACAAGUCUGUUGGAAUACAGCGGCAUAGUGGUGAUACCCCAUUACACGGUGCGGACGCCCAGCGCUUUGUGAUACACUUUCGACGAGUCGAGUUGUUUGGGAAUGCAGCUCAAAUUGGGUGGUAAAUUCCAUCUAAAGCUAAAUAUUGGCGAGAGACCGAUAGCGAACAAGUACCGUGAGGGAAAGAUGAAAAGCACUUUGGAAAGAGAGUUAAAAGUACGUGAAAUUGUUGGAAGGGAAACGCUUGAAGUCAGACUUGCUUGCCGGGCUUGCUCGGUUUGCAGGCCAGCAUCAGUUUUCCGGGGCGGAUAAUGGCAGUUAGAAUGUAGCAGUCUCGGCUGUGUUAUAGCUUUCUGCUGGAUACGUCCUGGGGGACUGAGGAACGCAGCGUGCCGUAUGGCGAGGGCUUCGGUCCUUUCACGCUUAGGAUGCUGGUGGAAUGGCUUUAAACGACCCGUCUUGAAACACGGACCAAGGAGUCUAACAUGCUUGCGAGUAUUUGGGUGUCAAACCCGGAUGCGUAAUGAAAGUGAAUGGAGGUGGGAAGCGCAAGCUGCACCAUCGACCGAUCUGGAUUUUCUAAGAUGGAUUUGAGUAAGAGCACGUAUGUUGGGACCCGAAAGAUGGUGAACUAUGCCUGAAUAGGGCGAAGCCAGAGGAAACUCUGGUGGAGGCUCGUAGCGGUUCUGACGUGCAAAUCGAUCGUCAAAUUUGGGUAUAGGGGCGAAAGACUAAUCGAACCAUCUAGUAGCUGGUUCCUGCCGA
rnacentral:rRNA from 1 species